UAAAUAAUAGAAAACGGUUAGCGAGAGCUAAAUUGGUUAUGAUCUGUAACGAAUCGUAAAGGGAUCUAUCGAUCCCAGGGAUGUCUUGGUUGUGAAACUGACAAUUGUUUAUCCGAAUCAACCAUUGAAACCGAUCACUAAAAACAACAUACAACGUACGUUUUGUUAUUAAUAAACCCAUUAUACAGCAAUACCCAACAUUACUUGAUUCCAGAAUAAAUUCAAAUUAACGGGAAACGAAUGUUAUGACUUUCAUAUCGUGGUCGUUGGAACGAGUUGGGAGCUUAUAACCAUCUGUAUGAUAUGUUUUGGUAAUAAACCACUCCCACAAACAAGGAAGUGUUUUAUCGUUUCAUUUCUGUGAAACCGAGAGUAAAACCUUCAACAGAGAAAUCGGAUGUCUGAUAUUGAUUGUUGAAGUAUCCAGCAGGAAAGACAUAAUGGGGAAAGAUGACCACCAUGAACCAGUAAAAAAGAGCUACAGAGAUGCUCUUCAAACACAAAUCAACAAAGUGAGGACUUCUGCUAGACCAAAUGCCCCUAAUACUGCCCAGAACAUUCACCUGACAAGACUGAGGAGUAACAUUUGUGACCUGAUGACCCAGCACCCUAACGGGGUAUCGCUUUCCCGGAUGAGACAGGCUUGCCCACUCCUCCUGCAUCCGGAGCUCCUGGAGCCCUACCCCUCAACCAGGCAUCUCCUGGCCUCCCUACCGGAUUUGGUGAGACUUCAAGGGAUUGGGGUACAAACACUGGUGCUCCCAGCACUGGGGCAUGGCCAUGGUGGCAAGGAGAUGGGUGGGGGAGUGAUGGGUGGUGGUGGCAGUCGAUGUCUUGACAGAUGAAAAUACCUUGUGGAUCACAGCGAAAGACUGACUUAAUGAAAAUAAUACCUCAAACCAAGACAGGCAGGCCAAUGUAAUAAGCUCAAAUUCUGUGAGGAUUAAUCGGAGAAACACGCAAUCAACACAUCCUACCAAAAACGUACCAAGAACACACAGGAGGAGACCACCAGUGUGAUGUUUACUUCAGUCUGAAUGAUUAUGAACUUGUACACCAGAUUGGUCGUAUUGAAACAGAUCAAUUUAAAAACAAGUUUACAUUUGUGAUACAACAUGGCAGCUAUAUUGCA